UUAAGCGACUAAGCGUACACGGUGGAUGCCCUGGCAGUCAGAGGCGAUGAAGGACGUGCUAAUCUGCGAAAAGCGUCGGUAAGGUGAUAUGAACCGUUAUAACCGGCGAUGUCCGAAUGGGGAAACCCAGUGCAAUUCGUUGCACUAUCGUUAACUGAAUACAUAGGUUAACGAGGCGAACCGGGGGAACUGAAACAUCUAAGUACCCCGAGGAAAAGAAAUCAACCGAGAUUCCCCCAGUAGCGGCGAGCGAACGGGGAGCAGCCCAGAGUCUGAAUCAGCUUGUGUGUUAGUGGAACGGUCUGGAAAGUCCGACGGUACAGGGUGAUAGUCCCGUACACCAAAAUGCACAGGUUGUGAACUCGAAGAGUAGGGCGGGACACGUGGUAUCCUGUCUGAAUAUGGGGGGACCAUCCUCCAAGGCUAAAUACUCCUGACUGACCGAUAGUGAACCAGUACCGUGAGGGAAAGGCGAAAAGAACCCCGGCGAGGGGAGUGAAAAAGAACCUGAAACCGUGUACGUACAAGCAGUGGGAGCACCUUCGGGUGUGACUGCGUACCUUUUGUAUAAUGGGUCAGCGACUUAUAUUCUGUAGCAAGGUUAACCGUAUAGGGGAGCCGCAGGGAAACCGAGUCUUAACUGGGCGUUAAGUUGCAGGGUAUAGACCCGAAACCCGGUGAUCUAGCCAUGGGCAGGUUGAAGGUUGGGUAACACUAACUGGAGGACCGAACCGACUAAUGUUGAAAAAUUAGCGGAUGACUUGUGGCUGGGGGUGAAAGGCCAAUCAAACCGGGAGAUAGCUGGUUCUCCCCGAAAGCUAUUUAGGUAGCGCCUCGUGAAUUCAUCUUCGGGGGUAGAGCACUGUUUCGGCUAGGGGGUCAUCCCGACUUACCAACCCGAUGCAAACUACGAAUACCGAAGAAUGUUAUCACGGGAGACACACGGCGGGUGCUAACGUCCGUCGUGAAGAGGGAAACAACCCAGACCGCCAGCUAAGGUCCCAAAGUCAUGGUUAAGUGGGAAACGAUGUGGGAAGGCACAGACAGCCAGGAUGUUGGCUUAGAAGCAGCCAUCAUUUAAAGAAAGCGUAAUAGCUCACUGGUCGAGUCGGCCUGCGCGGAAGAUGUAACGGGGCUAAACCAUGCACCGAAGCUGCGGCAGCGACACUAUGUGUUGUUGGGUAGGGGAGCGUUCUGUAAGCCUGCGAAGGUGUGCUGUGAGGCAUGCUGGAGGUAUCAGAAGUGCGAAUGCUGACAUAAGUAACGAUAAAGCGGGUGAAAAGCCCGCUCGCCGGAAGACCAAGGGUUCCUGUCCAACGUUAAUCGGGGCAGGGUGAGUCGACCCCUAAGGCGAGGCCGAAAGGCGUAGUCGAUGGGAAACAGGUUAAUAUUCCUGUACUUGGUGUUACUGCGAAGGGGGGACGGAGAAGGCUAUGUUAGCCGGGCGACGGUUGUCCCGGUUUAAGCAUGUAGGCUGGUUGUCCAGGCAAAUCCGGAUAAUCAAGGCUGAGGUGUGAUGACGAGGCACUACGGUGCUGAAGUAACAAAUGCCCUGCUUCCAGGAAAAGCCUCUAAGCAUCAGGUAACAUCAAAUCGUACCCCAAACCGACACAGGUGGUCAGGUAGAGAAUACCAAGGCGCUUGAGAGAACUCGGGUGAAGGAACUAGGCAAAAUGGUGCCGUAACUUCGGGAGAAGGCACGCUGGUGUGUAGGUGAAGUCCCUGCGGAUGGAGCUGAGACCAGUCGAAGAUACCAGCUGGCUGCAACUGUUUAUUAAAAACACAGCACUGUGCAAACACGAAAGUGGACGUAUACGGUGUGACGCCUGCCCGGUGCCGGAAGGUUAAUUGAUGGGGUUAUCCGUAAGGAGAAGCUCUUGAUCGAAGCCCCGGUAAACGGCGGCCGUAACUAUAACGGUCCUAAGGUAGCGAAAUUCCUUGUCGGGUAAGUUCCGACCUGCACGAAUGGCGUAAUGAUGGCCAGGCUGUCUCCACCCGAGACUCAGUGAAAUUGAACUCGCUGUGAAGAUGCAGUGUACCCGCGGCAAGACGGAAAGACCCCGUGAACCUUUACUAUAGCUUGACACUGAACAUUGAGCCUUGAUGUGUAGGAUAGGUGGGAGGCUUUGAAGCGUGGACGCCAGUCUGCGUGGAGCCAACCUUGAAAUACCACCCUUUAAUGUUUGAUGUUCUAACGUUGGCCCCUGACCGGGGUUGCGGACAGUGUCUGGUGGGUAGUUUGACUGGGGCGGUCUCCUCCCAAAGCGUAACGGAGGAGCACGAAGGUUAGCUAAUCCUGGUCGGACAUCAGGAGGUUAGUGCAAUGGCAUAAGCUAGCUUGACUGCGAGCGUGACGGCGCGAGCAGGUGCGAAAGCAGGUCAUAGUGAUCCGGUGGUUCUGAAUGGAAGGGCCAUCGCUCAACGGAUAAAAGGUACUCCGGGGAUAACAGGCUGAUACCGCCCAAGAGUUCAUAUCGACGGCGGUGUUUGGCACCUCGAUGUCGGCUCAUCACAUCCUGGGGCUGAAGUAGGUCCCAAGGGUAUGGCUGUUCGCCAUUUAAAGUGGUACGCGAGCUGGGUUUAGAACGUCGUGAGACAGUUCGGUCCCUAUCUGCCGUGGGCGCUGGAGAAUUGAGGGGGGCUGCUCCUAGUACGAGAGGACCGGAGUGGACGCAUCACUGGUGUUCGGGUUGUCAUGCCAAUGGCACUGCCCGGUAGCUAAAUGCGGAAGAGAUAAGUGCUGAAAGCAUCUAAGCACGAAACUUGCCCCGAGAUGAGUUCUCCCUGAGACUUUAAGUCUCCUGAAGGAACGUU
rnacentral:rRNA from 1 species